rnacentral:lncRNA from 1 species
CUCACUUCCCGCUCCGCCCUGCGUGGGAGGUAGGUUUUGCACCCCGUUGGCCUUCAGCCCGGCGCUCAGCCCCGGGGGUUUCGAACUUCCCGGGCUGGUCGGGGAUCGCGGCGCCUCCUCCCCGCCGAAGCUGCCGGAACAAACACUGCUCUUUCUCCAGAGGAGAAACGUGUACGCAGUGGUGGAAAACGGCCGCAGUGCCCUCUUCUCACUGACCUGGUGAUUGCGGGCCGCUCUGGUCAUCUUUCUUGGGACCCUUUCUGUCUUCAUGAGCGGAAAAUUGAGGAGGCAAGGAUGGUGGCUGGGUUACUGAUGGAUCCUUCUCAGGUAAGUGGAAAGCUGACCUUUCUUCAGAAUAGGCUUAUUUGUCAGGUGGCCGUAUCUCCUUGUAAUGUCCCCAGGCUUCUUACAGCGAUUAAUGACCCUGCUUAAGCAAUGAGUCUCAGGUCAAUUUCUUCAGGACUCAUGCCAUCUCAGAAUAUAUAGGGAUUACACUGGGUAUGAUUCUUUUAUCUCAGUAUUCAUUAAUUCUUUCUGAUCCUCAGUCUUGCUUGUUGGCUUAUCGUUUUGCUAAGUGUUACGAUAGAUACCGAGGAGUGAUAUGAAGGUAUCUAAUCUCAUGGAAUGUGUGUGUUACUACGGAAAUAAUUCAUCUGUUAGUAGAUUUUACAGUGUUGCACUGUGUUCAGUGCUAACUACAGCUUAUAAGUAGAGGACGAAUAAAGCAAGAAGAGCCCACA